GGGACUCGAGCCAAUUACAUCUCAUUUUACAUUAGAGUGUUAAAGAUGUUAUUCUCCAAUUGGAAAGUCACUCUUUAAAACAAUGCCCCUGCUCAUAGAAGUGGAGCUCAAAUAUCUGGAGUCCAGGAAACGUGCUGCAGAACUUCUCUCUGACGUGUCCCAAAGCUUCUGCUGCAGAGGAGAAUAAGCCAAGAGCCUUCAGCUGUUUUCACUUUAAAACAACAUUAUUCACUGGACUCACCUUUGAAGUUCAAGACACAAAAACGAUCAACUUUAAAAUUAGCACAUAAAAUUAAUGAUUGCUGGAGUUGGCAGGCUCCCUGGAAAACCUGGGUGCUUCUGGCAUUUUCAUUUGGAAAGGCUUCAAAGCUAUUGCCUGUAUUAAACAUUAGAACUGGGAGCUGGAAAGUAAGAGAGAUGGAGAGGAAAAUAUCUCCUGAAUAUCAGGUG